GACGAACGCUGGCGGCGUGCUUAACACAUGCAAGUCGAACGGUAAGGCCCUUCGGGGUACACGAGUGGCGAACGGGUGAGUAACACGUGGGUGAUCUGCCCGCACUUCGGGAUAAGCCUGGGAAACUGGGUCUAAUACCGGAUAGGACCACUGCCUGCAUGGGUGGUGGUGGAAAGCUUUUGCGGUGUGGGAUGGGCCCGCGGCCUAUCAGCUUGUCGGUGGGGUGAUGGCCUACCAAGGCGACGACGGGUAGCCGGCCUGAAAGGGUGACCGGCCAACCUGGGACUGAGAUACGGCCCAGACUCCUACGGGAGGCAGCAGUGGGGAAUAUUGCACAAUGGGCGCAAGCCUGAUGCAGCGACGCCGCGUGAGUGAUGACGGCCUUCGGGUUGUAAACCUCUUUCAGCACCGACGAAGCGCAAGUGACGGUAGGUGCAGAAGAAGGACCGGCCAACUACGUGCCAGCCGCCGCAGUAA
rnacentral:rRNA from 1 species